rnacentral:lncRNA from 1 species
UCAAGACUGUUGGCUCUGUCUACCCCGCAAGGGAUAUAGACGUGAUCAUAUGUAUGUAUGUAUGUAUGUAAUUAGGGAUUAAAGGCAAUUAGAGAUUCUAACGUUCCCUCAUCUCAUCCAUAGACCCUCAUUGUAUUUUAACCAAUGGUUUUUCUCAUUAUACAUUCAUAGUAAUAGUUUAUAAGCGCACUUUGGGUGUCUCAAAUUUCUGUUGAACCAUAGAUUUAUUACCGGGAAAAAUAACAAUACAAAAGGCAUGUGUCUAAAGCUUUAUUGUAAGCUUUUAUAGUUUGGUAUGUUAACAUUGAGUAUGACCAUUAAGGCUUAAUAUCAUGUAGAAAUAUUGCCUUAAUUUCUACCUUAUUUCUAUUCGAGCCUAAAAGUUUGACAGAAUUUUCCGAUUGCAACAAAGUGUAAUUUGUAUUUAAGAAAUGAUGAUGCAAGAUAUUUGCAUGUAUAAUUUAGCUUAUAUUAUAAUUACAAUUGGUAAUAUGUAAGAUUAAUUUACAUUGAGUGGUAAAAUAAUGUGCAUUUUGUGGAAGUGGUAUCCAGAGUGCUUGAAUGAAUUUCUGAAUCUCUAAAAAUGAACUGUUGUUAAGACCAAAAUGAUGAAACAAGUUUGUGUACAUAAAGCAUAUUAUACUCAUAUAAACGAAAGGCGGUUUUUAUGAAAUGUAUAAUACCUGAUAUCAUAACAUAAUCCAUGAGAAAUUUUGUUCAGAAUGUUUUUAUUCCCUCGCAGAGAGAUAAAAUCUUAAUACACUUCUUCUAUUUUGUGGUAGAAAAAUUUACUUCAGGCUUAAACAUGCGUUUUUCUUUUCCUAUAAAUAAAUCUCUGAACAGCCCCAAUAUCUCUGUAAGGGAAUCUUAAUAAAUAAAUACAAAUAUGAUAUUUUAUCAUGUUGUAUCAUUGAAGCAUCCUCACCAUAGUGAAACCUUAUUUAUUAAAUUGAAAUUAAUAUGAUAGUUUGCUUAGAGAAAAUUAUAAUGAAGUAUGUACCUUCAAGAAUAUUAAAAAUAGUAUCCAUGUUAUACAAAUUAUUAGUAAUCACAAAUAUGUUCUUAAAAUUACCUAAACCUAUAAAAUCUAGUUGAAUAACAUUUUAUUGGCUUUAUAUAUAUAAGUAUACCUAUGUCAGUAGGUAGUGAAAUAAUUUUUGCAUGUAAUUAAUAUGUAAUCAAUAAAGCCUAUGUCAAUUAA